CCCCAAUUCCCAUCCUAACCCCCACCCUCUCUUUUGUACCCCAUAGCUGCGGCACACAGGGCUGAAUGAGUUCGUUCCACAGGCAAGGAGCGUCUGGGAGUCCCAGGGAACAAGAACACGAAUAUAGUUGUAGCACUCGUCCUAGAGAACCCAAAAUUCUAGUAUAGACGGGGUUUCACCGUGUUAGCCAGGAUGGUCUCAAUCUCCUGGAGAGUCCAUGUUCUUAACCUCCACACGAUGCUGCCUCUAAGUGAAGAAACCAGGCCCAGGGAUGAGAAGCAGCUGGCAGGAGGUGUCAGCUCACGCUACCUGUUUGCUUCUUUUUGCUGGUCUGGCUGUUAGCUUCCUUGAGGCUGGGAGCCUUCCUGCACCUUGCCUCCCACACAGGGGGUCUCAGUCUCUAAUUGUUCACAGAGAUGGGGCAAGGCCCUUCCCUCUGCAACUGGUCCAAACUGGCUGGUGUGAGGACUGCAUGCAUGACCCCAGCCUCCCUCAGCCAAAUGACCCUGGCUGGGGCCCACAGUAGGAGGUAUAUACCAGCUUCCUGCCUUCCCCUAAAAUUGAAGUGAGGGACUUGGUCGGCUCCAAAAAUCAGGUCAAGAAGGGGGAAGAGAAAGGAAGAGAAAGGGACAUAGCUUGUCUCUCAUCCUCCCCAACCUGCUCUCCCCACCACCCCCCUGCCUCCAAGUUGUCCUGAGCAACUGGUAUCUUCACCCUGGAAACAACUUUGGUCUCUGGCAAGUGGGGAGAAGAGCCAGCCCCUCUUCCUGCUCCCUGCUCAUGCCUGCUUCCACCCUCUGCCCUCAGGAGCUGCUGCCCUUUCCUUACCUGGGGUGGUGACUCCUGUGGGGGCUUGAGGGGGAUAGGAAACCUCUGACCUGAUGGAAGACAGGACAAAGGAGGGAAGAGACUGCAUUAUGCUCCCCUUACCACAUCCCUUACAAGUAAAUGU